rnacentral:rRNA from 1 species
CAAUAGCGUAUAUUUAAGUUGUUGCAGUUAAAAAGCUCGUAGUUGGAUUUCGGGUAGGAUUUGCCGGUCCGUCUUUGAGAUGUGUACUGGUAAGUCCUAUCUUCUCGUCGGGGACCAGCUCCUGGGCUUCACUGUCCGGGACUGGGAGCCGACGAAGUUACUUUGAGUAAAUUAGAGUGCUCAAAGCAAGCCUACGCUCUGAAUAUAUUAGCAUGGAAUAACACGAUAGGACUCUGGCUUAUCUUGUUGGUCUGUGAGACCAGAGUAAUGAUUAAGAGGGACAGUCGGGGACAUUCGUAUUUCAUUGUCAGAGGUGAAAUUCUUGGAUUUAUGAAAGACGGACUUCUGCGAAAGCAUUUGUCAAGGAUGUUUUCAUUAA